rnacentral:sRNA from 1 species
ACUGGGUACAGUGGUGCAUACCUGUAAUCCCAGCAGUUUGGGAGGCUGAUGCAGGAGGAUCACUGGUUCAAACUCAGCCUCAGCAACUUAUCAAGGCCCUAAGGAACUCAGUGAGACCCUGUUUCUA